UGUUGUUGUUAUAUUAUUUAAACCUGAAGAGUAUUGCACAAAAGUAGAAUAAAGAAAUCCAGGAUAAUUGAGCAAGCGCUUCAUAUUUCACGGCCGCUGAACAACAGCUCCUGAUGGAGUUCUAUGAAGAGGUGGAAGAUAUAAGAAAAAAAGGCAAUACCAAUGCCAUAAUUAAAGAAAGAGAGAAAGCCUGGCAGACAAUAGCGGACCGGCUUAAUGCUUAAGUAGUCCAAAACUGUACAAUGAAUAAACAGUGCUCCACUGGAACUGUCAUAAUUAGGCUCCAAUUAAAGGACUAAAGGAGUUACUUUAAGUCCACUAAUCAACUGUUGUACACUUUGCUUUAAAUGUGGCAAGUAGAGGUUCAUGUUACUUAAAUGUAGAGUAUGAUUAAGUGCAAACAAUUAUCCACAAUGUGUGUCAUUUAAUCUAUUUUUGUCAUGUUACGUUUUUAUCUAUUUUAUCUUUCUAUCCUCCAUAAAGAACAAACUUGUCUGGCCAUAAAAGGACCUGGCAGCAAGUUAAAGUUAAAUACAAGAACAUUUUGCAGGCUGCAGUUAAAAAAAAAGACCAUAGAACUGGCACAGGGGGCGGCCCACCAAGCCAGGAUAUGACCCCGGCGGAGGAGCUGGCACUCCAUUUAAAUAAAGGGAGGCCAGUGAUGGAGGGAAUCCAGGGAGGGACUGUAACGGACUCUAUCCCAGCCACAGAAACUGUCCGCUUCAUACAAGUGUCUGGGAACACACUAACACUUUUGGAGCCACCAGAAGAUGAUCCAGUUAGUACAUUGUAUUGAAAUAACAGGCUUGGUAUGUCCUGUGAAAUCUUAAUUCAAGUUCUCUCAAAUGUAUGUAUGUGAUAGAGCUGGCAGACGUUAAAAUAAAACUGAAGAAGAGAAAGCUCCAAGAAAUGGAGCUGGAUCUUGAAAUUAAACGUCGGACACUCAGGAAACUGGACCUGGAAAUCCAGAAACUAGAAAGAGAAGAUCCAAGCAACCAAGACAAACGAGGGCUGCCAAAUAAAAAUUCAACUAGAAAACAUUGUGGUGUCGUCCGUUUUUCAUGAAUGUGAAGUAGAAUUUAAAAGAACCACCAAUGCUAAACAACACAGCAAAAAGUAACAUUUAAGAUCUUUUAUUAACUAAAGAGGCUAAAUCCAAAAAUUAAGAGAAGAAAUGUGCAAUAUAUUGCUCCCUGACAAGUCUGCCAUUAAUGUUGUCUGGGAAGAUGGGAGCAUUUUCCCAG